GUUACUAGUCGUAUCUAGAUUCUACAUUUAAUCGCUUUGUCCAAAAAUAAAGGAGGUAUUUCUAUAAAAAGGAACUAUUCCUGUGUGAAAAAACAGACUCGUCUUAACUUUAAAUACGUGACUGUAUCAGUAUAAGCAGAUUCGUCUUAAAAGAAGCCUGAAAGGCACAAGAUGAACAAACAAUUAUUGCUUGGAGUAUUGGUUGUUGCUUUACUGUUGCAGUUUGUACAAGGCGUGCCAUAUGGUGAAAGACCGCUAUUUGAAAUUGAUGGCCGACUUUUUGGGUGUGCCGACACCUUAGGGAGAGGGGAUGGGCUUGGUAGUAGCAGUGACGACACCAGUGAUUUCUUCAGUGAUAGCUGGAGCAAUGAAUGUUUAGACUAGAUUAUAUUGUUAUUCGUUCAGUGAUAGC